rnacentral:rRNA from 1 species
UUUGCCUACGGGAGGCAGCAGUGAGGAAUAUUGGUCAAUGGGCUUACGCCUGAACCAGCCAAGUCGCGUGAGGGAAGACUGCCCUAUGGGUUGUAAACCUCUUUUGUCAGGGAGCAAUUGGCGCUACGUGUAGCGUUAUCGAGAGUACCUGAAGAAAAAGCAUCGGCUAACUCCGUGCCAGCAGCCGCGGUAAUACGGAGGAUGCGAGCGUUAUCCGGAUUUAUUGGGUUUAAAGGGUGCGCAGGCGGCGAGUUAAGUCAGCGGUAAAAUUUCGGGGCUCAACCCCGACGAGCCGUUGAAACUGG